CAUUCAGUAGCCCAGCUACUUGUUUACACCCUUGUCUUUUUGCGUACUUAUCGUUUCCUCGGCGGGCUUGCCCGCCGGUUGGACAACUUUAUAACCUUUUUAAAUCUUCAAUCAGCGUCUGAAUAAUAUACAAUAAUCA
rnacentral:misc_RNA from 1 species